GCAGAUAUAGUUUAAUAAAAAUUUUAGAUUGUGAUUCUAGAGAUAAAGGUUAAAACCCUUUUAUCCGCC